GUCCAUGCCGUAAACGGUGGGCACUAGGUGUAGGGGGCUUCCACGUCUUCUGUGCCGUAGCUAACGCAUUAAGCGCCCCGCCUGGGGGAGUACGGCCGCAAGGCUAAAAACUCAAAGGAAUUGACGGGGGCCCGCACAAGCGGCGGAGCAUGUGGAUUAAUUCGAUGCAACGCGAAGAACCUUACCUGGGCUUGACAUGUACCGGAUCGGGCUAGAGAUAGUCUUUCCCUUGUGGUCGGUAUACAGGUGGUGCAUGGUUGUCGU
rnacentral:rRNA from 1 species